UGGCUCUCCCAUCGAUGAAGAACGCAGCGAAAUGCGAUAAGUAAUGUGAAUUGCAGAAUUCAGUGAAUCAUCGAAUCUUUGAACGCACCUUGCACCCUUUGGUAUUCCGAAGGGUAUGCCUGUUUGAGUGUCAUUAAUAUUCUCAACCAUUGGCUUGGAUCUUUCCUUGCUAAUCGUGUUGGAUUUGAGGGUGUUGUGUCGGUCCACUUCAAUUUUCUUUUGAAGACGGUCGACUCCCUUUAAAAACAUUUGUGGGUUUGACCUUUGUGGAUAUGCCUCGAUUUGAUAAUUAUCAAGAUGUCGUCGCAGUGAAACAAUAGACCUGCUCUCCAACUGUCCCUGACAAGGACUGCUUGAUUUUUCAAGCAAUAGGAGUCGCUGCCUUUUUGGCUUGACUUGUAAAAUUUAUUUGACCUCAAAUCAGGUAGGACUACCCGCUGA
rnacentral:misc_RNA from 1 species